GACGAACGCUGGCGGCGUGCUUAACACAUGCAAGUCGAGCGAGCAGAUUUCCACCGGGGAUGAAGCUAGCGGCGGACGGGUGAGUAACACGUGGGCAACCUGCCUUAUAGAGGGGGAUAGCCUUCCGAGAGGAAGAUUAAUACCGCAUAACAUCAGAUUAUCGCAUGGUAGACUGAUCAAAGGAGCAAUCCGCUAUAAGAUGGGCCCGCGUCGCAUUAGCUAGUUGAUGAGGUAACGGCUCACCAAGGCGACGAUGCGUAGCCGACCUGAGCGGGUGAACGGCCACAUUGGGACUGUGACACGGCCCAGACUCCUACGGGGGGCAGCGGUGGGGAAUAUUGCACAAUGGGGGAAACCCUGAUGCAGCAACGCCGCGUGAGUGAUGAAGGCCUUCGGGUUGUAAAGCUCUUUGAUCAGGGACGAUAAUGACGGUACCUGAAGAACAAGCCACGGCUAACUACGUGCCAGCAGCCGCCGUAACAC
rnacentral:rRNA from 1 species